UCUAAGGGGCAUUUAACAUGAGAGGCUUGAGGAGGGCGACAUUUGUACACAGACCCGAAAGAAGAGAGGGUGCGGUGCAGAGGCUGACCCCGGAGGCCUUGGAGCAACAGCAAGAGGCCUACCAUAGGAUGAGGCUGUCCUGCUGGAGGAACAGAGCUGGCCUGUGGUACAGAAGCACAGAGGGAAGGACACGGCCCAGCAUCCUUUGCCAGAGUCGUGCGGCAGCACAGAGACAGUCUUGACACCCAGAAGCAGUGCGUGGCCACCAAGCUCCAAAGCAUCCACCCGAGGGAGGGCAGCACCAGGACAGGGGUGGAGCAUUCAAGGCUCAGAGGCUGCAGUGUGAAGCCAAAGGGUGGCCCCUGGCCCUUCAGCAUGUUCCAUCUCUGAGAUCUUACUGCCCCUCAAACCUGGAUUUCACAGACUUUAUAAACUCAUCAACUAUACUAAACUAUAGGACCUCAGCAGUGCGACCGAAAGGUGUCUCUCUCCAGGUCUUGGGCCUGCAGCUCAGCGGGUAGGUUCAGUUAGACAGCAUCCCUAUUUCUUCCGGCUGCACCCAGGACUGGCUAUCUCAGGCCACCCCAGGAGCUCCACAACACAAAAAGCUCUCACGCCCUGAGCGUCUCGGGUUUUGAUGCUAAACCCCGGUGGGGGAGUUAGAGCACCCACAGGGCACUGGCCUCCCGGAGAGAAGAGAGCUGGAUCUAGGCCAGAAUCAGGGGAGAGGGGGCACAGAGGUAUCAGCCAAGCAACAGGCAAAGCUGACUACCCAGAGGGGCCCCUUCCAGGCCUGCUGGGGAUCCAGCAGGAGCAGAAAGGCCAGGCCAAAAGCCAGAGCAGGAACAAGAAGGCACAGAGCAAGGAAGUAAUGGACGAGGAGGUAAAAGCCAGAAAAUGGGAGCUGCACGGAACAGGAAGCAGAAUGGGACCAAAGCCACCCCAGCUGAAAGGAGACGCCAGUGUGGGUUACCACAGCGAUCUGAGGUCCAGGAGGACGCUGGCUAGAGCGAGACUCCUCCCUGCCCCAUUUCAUUCCACUGGACUCACCAGAACUGUGUUUUGGGGAAGGGGCCAGAACGACUAUUGGAGCCGUGACUUGGCUGCUGCCUUUUACAGUCCACUUCCCAGAAUAAACUGCCCCAAGACUUCACCAUCUCCAAAAAAGGCAACUACAAAAACGCUCCUUGCCAGCC